rnacentral:rRNA from 1 species
UACGGAUCCGAAUGGACUGUCUGCGUAUUGUCUUCUGAUUAGAGUUAUCGCAUUUCCCAGUAGUGUGCGUCAACAGCUGUUGGAACUGAGCGAGAAGCCCUGCAAGAAGGUAGCUAAUCUCGGUUAGUGUUAUAGCUUGUGGUGUGCAAGCUCAGAUCCGACAGAGGAGUCGCGGCACAUGCUCUUUUGGGCUGGCCUCUCAUUUCGCAGCCUGUUUUCGACUAUGGCGGACUGCAUGCAGUGCGUCUGAACUGAGGUGGGUUGUCGAGGUGAGAUGUGCACACACUGUGCCAAGGUUGUUGGCGGUCAUAUGAUUUCAUACGACCCGUCUUGAAACACGGACCAAGGAGUCUAACAUGUGUGCGAGUCUUAGGGUGACAGAAACCCGCAGGCAAAAUGAAAGUAAAAAGUGAGAUCUCUCUCCCCCGGGAGCGCAUCAUUGACCGACCUAUUCUACUCUUAGAAAGGUUUGAGUAAGAGCACAUCUGUUGGGACCCGAAAGAUGGUGAACUAUGCUUGAGUAGGGCGAAGCCAGAGGAAACUCUGGUGGAGGCUCGUAGCGAUUCUGACGUGCAAAUCGAUCGUCAAACUUGAGUAUAGGGGCGAAAGACUAAUCGAACCAUCUAGUAGCUGGUUCCCUCCGAAGUUUCCCUUAGGAUAGCUGGAACUCGGAACAGUUUUAUCAGGUAAAGCGAAUGAUUAGAGGUCUUAGGGUUGAAACAACUUUAACCUAUUCUCAAACUUUAAAUUGGUAAGAAGCCCGACUUGCUUAAUUGAAGUAGGGCACAGAAUGAGAGUUCUUAGUGGGCCAUUUUUGGUAAGCAGAACUGGCGAUGCGGGAUGAACCGAACGUUGAGUUAAGGCGCCUAAAUCGACGCUCAUCAGACCCCACAAAAGGUGUUGGUUGAUCUAGACAGCAGGACGGUGGCCAUGGAAGUCGGAAUCCGCUAAGGAGUGUGUAACAACACACCUGCCGAAUCAACUAGCCCUGAAAAUGGAUGGCGCUCNAGCGUCGUGCCUAUACUCNACCGUCAGAGUAAAUAGCGAAGCUCUGACGAGUAGGAGGGCGUGGGGGUCGUGGUGAAGCCUUUGGCGUGAGCCUGGGUGAAACGGCCUCCAGUGCAGAUCUUGGUGGUAGUAGCAAAUAUUCAAAUGAGAACUUUGAAGACCGAAGUGGAGAAAGGUUCCAUGUGAACAGCAGUUGGACAUGGGUUAGUCGAUCCUAAGAGAUAGGGAAACUCCGUUUCAAAGCGCCCAAUCUUGGGCCAUUUAUCGAAAGGGAAUCGGGUUAAUAUUCCCGAACCGGAACGUGGAUAUUCUAUGUCUUCGGAUGUAGAUUUGCGGUAACGCAACUGAACUCGGAGACGUCGGCAAGAGCCCUGGGAAGAGUUCUCUUUUCUUGUUAACGACUUGACACCAUGGAAUCUGUUUGCCAGGAGAUAUGGUCUAAUAGUCGGUAAAGCACCACACUUCUUGUGGUGUCCGGUGCGCUCUUGAAGGCCCUUGAAAAUCCGAGGGAAAGAUUGAUUUUCACGUCCGUUCGUACUCAUAACCGCAGCAGGUCUCCUAGGUGAGCAGCCUCUGGUCGAUAGAA